CCAAUCUACAUGAUCCACCGGAUCAAUUUUUUUUUUUUUGGUUUUUUUUCACUUUUUGUUCCACAAACGACGUCUUUGGCAUUCCUAAACUCUCACAUUCCUCCCUCAACGUCACUAAACUGAACCUGGAACUCUCUCAUCCCUGUCACUGCUGUCGCACCCAAACUCCCUCCCUCUCUCGGCUCCGGUCUCUCUCACUGUCUCCGGUGUCGCCAUCAAGCUCGUUGUCAUUCUCUCGGAUCGGGUAUCUCUCACGGUCUCGCGCGCCUUUCCUGCCGUCGUCGUCGCCGGCGGCAGAAGUAGCAGGUCCCGGCACUUCCUCCUCCCCGGCAGCAACUUUCGUCGUCAGCAACUCUCAUCAUCAUCUUCCUUCACGCAACCAGAAACUGGUCUUAAUUUGGAUGCAAUGAAAGUUGAUUUGUGAAUUUCACUUGUGAUUGCGGUGGCAGCAGUAGAAAGUGUGUUUUUGUUAUGGCCGAUGAUAUUAUAAACCAAAUAUUUGAAAUAUCGGAUGCAGCUUAUAACUUAUAUGUAAGUUAUGCGAGGUGUGUCGGGUUUGGAGUUCGCAAGGGUGAUACACCGUGUGGGAAAGAUGGAACACAACGUAGAAGGCAAUUUUUUUUGCAACAAGAAAGGAAAGUGAGCCAAGAAAUACAUCUCUACUUCGAAUAGAAAGAGGGAGUAUAAAGCAUUGACUCGUACUGGUUGUGAAGCCAUGCUUGCGGUGUACUUUGACACGAAAACUUCGACUUGAAGGAUUAAAAAAUUAGUUGAGAAGCACAACCAUGAUCUUGUCCCACAAUGCUUGGUACACCUAAUUCCAAACCACCGAGAGUUGACUGAAGCACACAAAGCUCAGGUGAACACCAUGCAUGAUAAUUGUCUUCCAACCUCUAAAAUAAUGGGACUCAUGGUAGGCCAAUCCGGUGGGUAUGCUAAUGUUGGAUUCACAAAGAAGGACUUGGAUAACCACAUUCAAAGAACUCGUCGUGCAAAGCUUAUUGAUGGGGAUUCCAAUGUGACAAUAAGCUAUCUACUUGGAAAAGCCGAUGUUGACCCAUGGCCAUGGCAAGGUAUAGUGCUACUGAUGAAAAUCUGCUAGCGAAUUUAUUUUAGGCAGAUGGCAUUUGUAGGGCUGAUUAUCAGUGCUUUAGAGAGGUGUUUGCAUUUGAUACAACCUAUCGAAAGAAUAAGUACAGAAGGCCAUUGGUAAUCUUCUCGGGUUGUAACCAUCACCGCCAAACAUGCAUAUUUGGCUUUGCCUUAAUAGAGGGUGAACAAACGACAACAUAUAUAUGAUUGUUGCAAAACCUUCUAGAAGUCAUCUUGAACAAGUCUCCCGUGGUCACAAACGGUGACAAGGCAAUGAAGGCAGCAAUUCAAGAAAUCUUCUCAAAUGCAACUCACUGAUUAUGUGGUUGGCACAUUCAAAAAAAUUUAAUGGCAAACAUAAAAACCAAAAAUUUUUCUGACGACUUCAGAAAAUAUUUGUAUGCUCCAUGGCAUCUUGAUGAAUUUGAAGAAUAUUGGAAGAAUAAGCUAAAAAAGUAUGAGUUGGAAGAAAAUUGUUGAGUUCUAAAUGAAUAUGAAAAGAAGAAAAGGUGGGCAAGUGCUUACUUGAGGGAUAAAUUCUGUGUUGGAUUUAGAACAACAUCAAGGUGUGAGAGAGGUUUAUUGGCAUUCGCCAAAGUCUUCUAGAGUUGGUCUAAAUUCUUGAACAUGCUCUUAGGCACUACAGAAACAAUGAAUUAGUUUCUCAAUUUAAGAUGGUGUAUGGGGAUCCCAUUCUAACUACUGGGGUAGAAGCAUUGAAGCUUUGUGCUGCAAAUUUUUACACAAAGGAGAUUAUUGGAAAAAUAAAACUGGAGAUUCAAGGAGUGGUUGCAUUAGAUAUAAUUAAUGAGAAAAACAUAUCAACUAUUAUUGUGUUAAAAGUUAAGGAGUAUAAAAAAGAGGCAACAUAUAUACAACGUAUUUUAUGAUCGUAAUACUGAGAAUAUGGAGUGUGAAUAUAAUCCAUGAAAUAGUAAAGGUAUCCUUGCAGCCACAUGUUUUGUGCCAUGAAAAUGGUAGAUUUACAGAAGUUGCCAAAAAGUCUUCUUUUGAAAAGAUGGUCCAAAGAUGCUAAUAAGUAUUUGGACGAAAGUUCUGCUAGAGGCACUGCGUAAGACAGAGAAAGAUAAUUUUCAAUGCGCUAUGACGCAUUGUCAGUGGCAACUACAUGGAUGUUAUUCUUAGGAGCUCAAGAUGGUCCUUCUUUCCAUGAUGCUAUGAAUGAAGUUUGUCGGUUGACCAAAACGAUAGAGCAAAAAUCUUGUUUGAAAAGACAAAUAAGAGAUUCUUCCAUGUCAAACUUUGCUAGUGACCUUUCAGUGGUCACUGGUCAAGACAAAAGGUGCACCCAGGAGAAGAAAAGAAAGAGGUAAACGGAGGUGCACUAAAUCCAAGAGUGCUGGUCAUGUAAAGAAGAAAUGUCAUGUGAGGAAUGACGGUGGUGAUUCGGGUGAUAAGACUGGCAGUGGCACGCAAGCUAGCUUUUGGGUAAAGAAGAAGUUAGUAAGAUACAAUAUUACAGUAGGGGUUACUUGAAUAAAAAUAAAUUGAUAAAUUCUAUGUUGUAUUUAUACCUGAUGACAAUUUUGACUGCAUGUCUUCUUUUUUCAUAGGAACUUCCCAGAGACCCUGAGGCUUCCCAAGGGAUAUCAGCAGUGCCAAAUACAAAAGUAGAUACUUCUGUGCAGUUAGAGUUUAGGCUAGGUGAUUCAGGAUUGAAUAAUAGUCAUGGGGCUCUCAUCCCACCAUAUGGAAGUCAUCAGUAGUUAUUAUAGGUUGUACAACAAGGACAAUAUCCAAAGUCUAACGACAUGCAGUAGCAUUACCUAGUAUAGUGUGAUGAGAGUAUAGUUUGAGAUGCUAUUUAAAUUUUCAAAUUUUAAUUAGUAGUGCACUGAGGUUGAUAGAAAAAUUUCUAUUAUGAAAA